AUUUAUAAUAUGAUUACGUGAUUCUUAAUCUUUUAACAUGGUCGUUUUUAACUGGACGUUGAAUACCGUAUUGUUUUUAAUGUUAAGUUUAUGCGGUAUAUCACCUCGAGAGCUUGGCAUCUUGUCGAUUUUCGUCUAUUUUAAUGAACGUUUUGUAAAUAUAAACGAACAUAUUCCGAUUCAGUUAACGGCAGUUACGGUUUACGCGAUUCUAAUAUUUACCGUAUCAUCGGGAAUGUCUAGACUUUUUAAAAUUAUAUUAUCUACAAUCUUCUACUUGCCCGACGAACGUAUCUCUUCGACCCAGUUAACGUAUCGAUAGCGCUGUUUGAAAUAUUGCUCUUCGAUGUUCUCGUUUGUCCUAUAAUGCAAUUGAUAAUUUUAACUGAUAAUCUACUUAAUUUUCCCUUUUGAACGUCAGACAUUCUCGUUAUAUUGUUACGACUUUAAUUUCAUUGUUAUUGCAAACGGGUGAAUGUAACUGCUUCGGGAAUCUUUUAUUUUUACAAGUAUUGUUUUACGUGACGAAUAUUUAAAUUUGUUUUAUACUUUAUCGUUAACUGUUUUUGUAGAUUUAUGUAUCAUUUGUAUAAAUAUAUAUAUUUUUUUACCAUGUUUAAAGUUUG